AAUCACACGCAACACACACACUGGCACCUAAAACACACACUACACACACCAUUUUCCAUUUAAGCUUGGACGGAGCUUUUGACUUCCGAUUUGAGCACCGAGACGAGCGCCGAUCAUCUUUUCGAUCACGUAUCUAAGUAGGUCCUUUUGGGAAGUAACGACUUGAGGGAGAGAGUGACGUUACUCAUUGAUACAGAGACACAACGAGGUUGAGCUGAUGUGAUGAUGGUGCUGCAAUGAGCGGAGUCUCCAGGGUUGUUAAUAAAUAGUUAACCUGUCUAGAAUAUGUCUUCAUACAUAUGUCUAGCUACUUUCCGCUGCAAGAUGUUGUUGAUGUUAUAGUAUGUUAUGUCAUACUUUGAGUCUUAAGAGAAUGGUUUCAUACGAUGUAUAACUUGAUUAAUGAUAUUAAUUAAGUUUUAUGCUGUCUUUCA